AUCAGAAACCUAAUUCCCAUUUUCCUUCCCGUCGCCUUCUCCUAAACAGACAUUUCCGUUUCCCAUUUUCCUUUUCCUUUUCCUUUUCCUUCUUCUUCGAGUAACCCGCAAGGAACCAAGACCUCCAUCACCUUCUUCCUUCUUCUGAAAAUUUCGAGUGUCUACAAGCGAGAUUCAUCCUCUUCCUCUUGACCUAAGCUGGUCCUUCUUCUCUGUGCAGUCACGGUGCUUCCCCAACCCUAACCGGCGCUCCUCUUCUCGUUGUUUGUUGGUGUAAACAAACUAAGGAGGCGACUUUAUCGAAGAGCCCUUCUAGUAAUCGCGGGGUAGCAGAUUUGGCCUCUUGAAGCGUUCUUUUAGCUAAUUACAGAUCGGAUCCGGUCGGAAAUAAUCGGGUUAGCAAUGUUGAUGAGAGUGCUAAGGAUGUCCUUUUGAGCUGAGGUCGUGGAAGCUUAUAGUUUGUAUUAGGAAUUUGUUUAAUGUAUAUUAGUUCUGAUUAGUUCUGAUUAUAAUGGACUCGUAGUGAGUUGUAUGGUUACUUCAUGUUUAGAUUAGAUAUUUUGUUUGAGAUUUAGCUGUGUUGGUUUCGUUAUAGAGCUGGUGAUUCCUUUGCCCAGGUUUUGGGAUAUGAUUUAAGUUUCUUGGGAAAUAAUCCCCGUGACGACCCUAUUUACCCAGUCAACGGUAAGUCGGGUGGUUAUAGUUUAGCGAACCAAGAAAUUAAAUUAUCACCCAGAAAUACACAAUAACCAGAAGUAAAGCGGCGAGUGUCAGGACAGCCACCCCAAUCAUCAGUAUAGGACAAAAGAGUUGAAAGAUUAGAACGAUACAACUGCAGACCAUAGUGAAUAGUACCUUUGACAUAGCGAAGAAUGCGGUGAAUAGCAGCCAUAUGUUCAAUUCUAGGAUCAUGCAUAUCAAGGCAACCCUGCUGAACAGCAUAUGAAAUAUCUAGGCGGGUGAAAGUAAGAUACUGCAAAGCACCAGCCAGACUACGAUACAAUGUAGGAUCAUCACAAGAAGAACCAGCAUUAGCACAAAGUUUGCCGGAGGUAGCAACAGGAGUAGCAACAGGUUUACAUUGAGACAUGCCAGCCUUUUCAAGAAUUUCAGAGGCAUACCGCUGUUGAGAGAAAAAGAGGCCCGUAGAUGUACGAUUAACAGCAAUACCCAAAAAAUAAUUAAGAGGACCCAAAUCCUUCAUGGCUAACUCAGAGCUAAGUUUGGACAUAAGAGACUCACGAAGUAAAUUAGAAAAAGUCAUAAGAAUAAUAUCAUCCACAUACAACAGCAGAUAAGCAAUAUCAGAACCAUGACAGUAAACAAAAAGAGAAUUAUCAAAAAUGCUGUUAGAAAAACCAAUAGCAGUUGCAAAAGUGCAAAACCGGUGGUACCAAGCACAAGGAGCCUGUUUGAGACCAUAAAGUGACUUACGAAGAAGACAAACAUGAUCAGGACUAGUAGAAUCACGAAAACCCAGAGGCUGAUGCAUGUAAACAGUCUCAGUCAAGUGACCAUGAAGAAAAGCAUUUUUAACAUCUAGCUGAUGAAUAGACUAAGACCUAGAAAGGGCAAUACUUAAAACAAUGCGAAUAGAAGCGGUUUCACAACCGAAGUAAAAGUUUCAUCACAGUCAAUGCCUUCCCUUUGAGAUUUACCAUGACCAACAAGACGCGCUUUAUAGCGCUCAAAAGAACCAUCGGACUUGGUCUUGACACGAAACACCCACAAAGACCGAAUGAUAUUAGCAUUAGGAGGACGAGGUACCAGAUCCCAAGUGUGAUUCUCAAUUAAGGCAUCAAAUUUCUCUUGCAUGGCUAACUUCCAGUUCGGGUCACAAAGAGCAUGAAGGGGAGAUUUGGGUAAUGAUGAAAAAGAAGCAGAUAAAGCUUGGGAGUGGUAUUUGGGAUUGGGUUUGAAAAUACCAUGUUUACUACGCGUAACCAUGCUGGGUGGUGAGGAUGGAGAGUUGGG